rnacentral:rRNA from 1 species
GAUGAACGCUGGCGGCGUGCCUAAUACAUGCAAGUCGAGCGAACGGACGCGAAGCUUGCUUCUCUGAUGUUAGCGGCGGACGGGUGAGUAACACGUGGAUAACCUACCUAUAAGACUGGGAUAACUUCGGGACACCGGAUCUAACACCGGAUAAUCUUUUGCACCGCAUGAUUCAAAAGUAAAAUACGGUCUUGCUGUCUCUUAUAGAUGCAUCCGCGCUGCAUUAGCUAGUUGGUAAGGUAACGGCUUACCAAGGCAACGAUGCAUAGCCGACCUGACAGGGGGAUCGGCCACACGGGAAGUGAGACACGGUCCAGAGUCCUAAGGGAGGCAGCAGAAGGGAAUCUUACGCAAUGGGCGAAAGCAUGACGGAGCAACGCGACGUGAGAGAUGAAGGCCUUGGGAUCGUAAAACUCUGUUAUUAGGGAAGAACAUAUGUGUAAGUAACUGUGCACAUCGUGACGGUACCGAAUCAGAAAGCCACGGCUAACUACGUG